UUGACCUCAAAUCAGGUAGGACUACCCGCUGAACUUAAGCAUAUCAAUAAGCGGAGGAAAAGAAACUAACAAGGAUUCCCCUAGUAACUGCGAGUGAAGCGGGAAAAGCUCAAAUUUAAAAUCUGGUAGUCUUUGGCUGCCCGAGUUGUAAUCUAGAGAAGCAUUAUCUGCGCUGGACUGUGUAUAAGUGUCCUGGAAUAGACCAUCAUAGAGGGUGACAAUCCCGUCUUUGACACAGACUCCCAGUGCUUUGUGAUGUGCUCUCAAAGAGUCGAGUUGUUUGGGAAUGCAGCUCUAAAUGGGUGGUAAGUUCCAUCUAAAGCUAAAUAUUGGCGAGAGACCGAUAGCGAACAAGUACC
rnacentral:rRNA from 1 species